CAGUAGCCACGGUAAUACGUAGGUGGCAAGCGUUGUCCGGAAUUAUUGGGCGUAAAGGGCUCGCAGGCGGUUUCUUUAGUCUGAUGUGAAAGCCCCCGGCUCAACCGGGGAGGGUCAUUGGAAACUGGGAAACUUGAGUGCGGAAGAGGAGAGUGGAAUUCCACGUGUAGCGGUGAAAUGCGUGGAGAUGUGGAGGAACACCUGUGGCGAAAGCGGCUCACUGGACCAUAACUGACGCUGAUGCACGAAAGCUAGGGGAGCAAACAGGAUUAGAUACCCGCGUAGUCCCUGUCUCUUAUAC
rnacentral:rRNA from 1 species